rnacentral:lncRNA from 1 species
CCGCGAGCUGCCUGUCUCGUCGUGGCAGGUCACCGAGCCGUCAAGCAAGAAUCUGUGGGAGCAGAUCUGCAAGGAGUAUGAAGCUGAGCAGCCUCCCUUUCCAGAAGGAUAUAAAGUCAAACAGGAGCCUGUGAUUACGGUUCUCCCAAAGAAUAUUUGGAAACUUUCAUCUUUCCUGUUCUGCUUCCCGGAAUGGCUAGCCUGCUUCACCAAGCGAAGAAAGAAAAAUGUUUUGAGAGGAAAAGAACCAAAUUCAUUGCCUGUGAUUUUCUGACUGAGUGGUUAUACAACCAAAAUCCAAAGAGGGCAGGGGAGCCAUUCACAGAAUUUUUCUCCAUUCCAUUUGUGGAGGAGCGGCUAAAGCAACACCCACGGCCGCCAAUCCCACUCUCGCUCCUGCUGACAGAAGAGGAAGCAGCCCUCUACAUUCAAUCCUUCUGGAGAGCCUGUGUGGUUCGCUGUGAUCCUGAGAUUCAAGAACUGCGUCAGUGGCAGAAGAAACUUCGCGAGGCCAAGCACAUUCACCAGCAAGUCAAAAUUUUCUGGGCCAAGCAAGAACAAAAAGUGAAAUGCAAAAUGGAGGACGAUGCAGUACCUGCAGCCAAGAUGAAAAUUCCAUCAUCUUAACCAUAGCUAAGACUAUGCAACAGUCAGCCGGGGGAAGAUAAAGGUACAUUAUAAAACACACAUUAAUGCAUUUAAUAAAUAUAUAUUAUCUA